rnacentral:lncRNA from 1 species
CUCCUAUUCAUAAUAAUAAUAAAUAGAAAUGAAAUUGUAUUAAAAAUAAAGAGAAUAAAAAUAAAAAUAAAAAUAGGAAUAAAGAAGAAAAACUACUUACUAACGAAAACAAAAAAAAUUCAAACAUCAUGAAGGUGUUAGCUUUGGUUGUCAUACUCUAUAGGAGCACCCCAGUAAUGUUUCAAGCAUUGUCCAUUAACCUUGAAUGUAGC